rnacentral:rRNA from 1 species
GAUGAACGCUGGCGGCGUGCCUAAUACAUGCAAGUCGAGCGAACGGACGAGAAGCUUGCUUCUCUGAUGUUAGCGGCGGACGGGUGAGUAACACGUGGAUAACCUACCUAUAAGACUGGGAUAACUUCGGGAAACCGUAGCUAAUACCGGAUAAUAUUUUGAACCGCAUGGUUCAAAAGUGAAAGACGGUCUUGCUGUCACUUAUAGAUGGAUCCGCGCUGCAUUAGCUAGUUGGUAAGGUAACGGCUUACCAAGGCAACGAUGCAUAGCCGACCUGAGAGAGGGAUCGGCCACACUGGAACUGAGACACGGUCCAGACUCCUACGGGAGGCAGCAGUAGGGAAUCUUCCGCAAUGGGCGAAAGCCUGACGGAGCAACGCCGCGUGAGUGAUGAAGGUCUUCGGAUCGUAAAACUCUGUUAUUAGGGAAGAACAUAUGUGUAAGUAACUGUUCACAUCUUGACGGUACCUAAUCAGAAAGCCACGGCUAACUACGUG